rnacentral:misc_RNA from 1 species
UCGUACAGCGUCGAGUUAAAGAAAAUUCGCGCGGCUAGAAAAGCGGGCGCGCAUGCGUACCGGCCGAGCGUCACGUGGUUCGAGCACGCAGACAGGUUUCUGCGGGCGAUCGUCACUCCGAGCUCCGUGGACAACAGCCUACUCGAAAUACCGAUGAGCGACGACAGCGACGCCGUUCAGGAUCUGAGCGAACGAAAAUCACCCGAAAAGAAAUGUCCUCGAAAACGUCGUAGUUCAACUAGAUCGUCGACUCCGUACGUUUU